GCGCCGGGAGUGCUGUCUGCACUCGCGACAGUGGUUAGCAGCUGUUUUCCAGGGCCUUUGGUGCCAGAGGUCUCCAGACGGCACCCGCUAUUCACAUUCCAGUGUGCGAACAACUCAGGCCGACCGUUGGUUGGACAUUAUCCUCCGUAGCACGAACACCACCGCGGAUCCGGGCUACCGUGUUACCUGCAUCACCCAUGCAAGGCAAUGUUCAAUGAGCACUGUGAUGAAGCCGCAGGUCAAACAAAACAAUACUUGAAUUGGUGGUGGAGCACUGGUCAAUCUCCUGGUAUUAGCAGCCCACUGCCACGGAGUCUUGCUUGGAUGCGAUCCUUGCCACCACAUCACAUAAUGUCGUGUACCGCUUGUCUCCCAUCUGUAGCCACUACAUCACGGUCCAUCUCUCACGUGAUGCUCCUAUGCUUCUUGUCUGGACUGGCUGCAAACAGCACAGCUGCAGCAACCUCUGCUUCAGCACCCUCUGCUUCUGAAACCAUCUCUGACGUCACCGCGACAACCAAAGUGGACGUGGGAAACGCUAGUAGUACUGAGGACCUGCCUACCACUGCAAGACCGGACAGCGAGGCACCAACCAGCUCCGCAGCACCACACAGCAACGGGGCUCACACAACACAAGAGGAGAAGGGUUGGUUUGCGAGUUCAGCAAUCAACACCCCAUCGCCCAACUCCAAGAAGCGAGGCAAGCAUGGCCGGCGGACAAAGCCAAGGCGUGUUGCUGACACGCGGCACUCGCAUGAAGUCCGGCUGCGCACUGCUGCCGCCAUAGGUCUAUCGUCUGUGACAUUUCUUAGCAUUAUUCUAGCGAUGUUUUGUGCCUGUGCGAACACUAGUACUAGGCAAGCAUUGUGCCAAAAAUGCAGACGUGGGCCUUUCGCUGCACACCGCCGACCUCGCCCGCCGCAGAUGACACUGACGCCAUCGUCCACUCAGCUACAGACGAGGCUACUGGAUGAAGACCAGCUACCUGCUGAAGACGCGUGUCCAGUGUAGAAGCUGGGAGCUCGCCAGAGAGCAUUACAUUUUGUCUGAUACUACAUGCAGAUAGAGAACGACAGGGAAGAGUGAGAGGAAGACAUCAGAGACGCAAAUUAACUGCCAGUUGACCAGCCUGAGAAAAGACACGCACACGAACAGAGAGACUGGUAAACACACAGAGCGGUCCGAGGAGAGAGAGAGAGAGAGAGAGAGAGAGAGAGAGAGAGAGAGAGAGAGAGAGAGAGAGAGAGAGAGAGAGAGAGAGAGAGAGAGAGAGAGAGUGGAGAGGGUGCAUGUGGAUGAGUGUGUAGGUGCGUGUGUACGUGUGUGCGCGCGGGUGUUCGUGAGUUAGGUUGCAACUGCGAGAUGAGAUAACUCUGCUGCUAUUCUAAACACUGCAUUUUUAAAACAUUGAGGCCAGCUCUUGGCGCCUGAUAA